rnacentral:misc_RNA from 1 species
UGGAGUUCUUGAGCAGGACUAAAGCCACGGAUCAGUAUAGGACUCAUAGGCUGAGACAGGCUUUGGUUACGCUCAAGGCUCUUUUUGAGUCUGAGGUUGAUGCUAUGAAAUUUGAUGGGUUGCUUGAUGAGGCUUUACUCAUUUUGCAAGAUCAAUAUGAGAGUAUAUUGCAUCAAGUAAAGCACCAAAAUAUUGGCGAGUCACAAGAGGAGGAUGGAGCUGAGAUAGGCCCAACUUCUGAUCUGGGUACAGAGCUGGAAAUUGAAAUUCUUAGAAGAAUUUCGGAAACCCUUGCGGCCAAUGAUUGUUUGGAUAUAUGCAUUGAUAUCUACAUCAAGGUGAGAUAUAGAAAAGCAGCAAAAGCAUUAAUGCGGCUGAACCCAGAUUAUUUGAGGACAUAUACUCCUGAAGAAAUCGACGAAAUGGAGUGGGAGAAUUUAGAGAUAGCCAUAAGCCUUUGGAUACAACACUUUGAACUUGCAGUGAAAACAGUUUUUCAAUCAGAAAAGAAGCUUAGCAACCAAAUUCUUGGGGGAAUUAUGGAUGGAGUUGUCUGGUUAGAAUGCUUUGUCAAGAUUGCAGACAAAAUCAUGGCAGUCUUCUUUCGAUUCGGAG